AUGUAUUUCUUGAACAUUUUUAUGAUCCUUUCAUUUGAAGUUGAUUUGGGCAUCUUGGCAAAAAGAAAAGUGUUUGGGGCUGUUUGGUUCCCAGCCACAGUUUGCCAAGCCAAAAUUUGGCAGCCACAGUUUAGUUGGCAUGUGUUUGGUUUUUGCCACACUUUGGCUUGCCAUACUUUAUUGCCCAUAUGGCCCAUUUGUCAUAGAGACAAUUUUUUUGCCAACUUUUGCCAAAGUUUGGCGUCCAAUUUCACAGCCACACUUGUGUGGCUUGCCAUACUUGUGUGGCUAGCCACACUUUGGCUUGGCCACACUAGUAUCCAACCAAACAGACCCAAAUUAUUUCUUCAAAUACAUGAGUUUGCCAGAAUUAUGUUACCAAUAAUCAGGAGUUCAUUUUGGUAA
rnacentral:rRNA from 1 species